CAUAAGUUUUGUUCUUUCUUCACUUGAGCCUGUUCUGCAGUUACUUUAUGGAUAGCACAAAUUAUAAGAAUUGGGGAAGCAAAACGAAAGAAAAACACAAACUUUGUAUGCGUAAAUUGAUAAGAGAGUCCCAAAAGAAUGUAAUCAAUGGUAACAGAGAUUAGAUUAAACUCACUGAGCUUGCUCAAGCAAAGAAGACACAGACGCCGAGAGCGAAAGCGAGAGAGUUAUUGAAUCUGUCAAUCUGGUUCGAGAAGACAAGAACCCUCGCAACGUCGUCGUUUUGCUCUCUUCUAAUAGCAAAAGUUAAACUUAAACCUAAUUAAUUAAUUAAAUUAAAUUAAACGAUUUAAUAACUAAACCCUACACCAUACCCGAGAGCCCCCAAAAAAACGCGACCUUGGAGAAUUUUGUCCGGCGAAAGAAA
rnacentral:telomerase_RNA from 1 species